AUUGAACGCUGGCGGCAUGCCUUACACAUGCAAGUCGAACGGCAGCACGGGAGCAAUCCUGGUGGCGAGUGGCGAACGGGUGAGUAAUAUAUCGGAACGUGCCCAGUCGUGGGGGAUAAUGCAGCGAAGGCCGUGCUAAUACCGCAUACGAUCUAUGGAUGAAAGCGGGGGAUCGCAAGACCUCGCGCGAUUGGAGCGGCCGAUAUCAGAUUAGCUAGUUGGUGAGGUAAAGGCUCACCAAGGCGACGAUCUGUAGCUGGUCUGAGAGGACGACCAGCCACACUGGAACUGAGACACGGUCCAGACUCCUACGGGAGGCAGCAGUGGGGAAUUUUGGACAAUGGGCGAAAGCCUGAUCCAGCAAUGCCGCGUGCAGGAUGAAGGCCUUCGGGUUGUAAACUGCUUUUGUACGGAACGAAACGGUGAGCUCUAAUACAGUUUGCUAAUGACGGUACCGUAAGAAUAAGCACCGGCUAACUACGUGCCAGCAGCCGCCGUAAUAC
rnacentral:rRNA from 1 species